ACAUUAUUAACAUCUUAAAUGAUGGCAUGUUUUGAUUUGCCUGAAUGACUCCUAACCCCAAAAUUUAUCUUGGAGAAAUUGUGUGUGUGUGUGCGUGCACGUGUGUGUGUGCGUGUGUGUGUGUGGUGAAAUCUCUGCCAGUUAGUUUUCUUGUAUUGUUUUUCUCCUGAAAGAGCAUUUCAGGCAGACAGUUAAACUAAUCAAACAUUCCAGCUAGUUGAACCCCAUGGAAAAGUGGUGUUACUACUUUUCUGAGAAAGCAAGAAAAAACAAUGAACUCAUAGCACCUCUUCAUGUUUACAAUAUUCCAAGAAAAAUAUUAUUUUUAUAUUCCUCCUUUAAGUGAGCCUAUAAAAACAAUAAUUCUAUUUUUUUAAUAGAUCCGGUGAAAUGGUACUUGGUUCUGCUGCUAAAGUUCUCUCUUUAGCAGAUCAUACAGUUCUUGGGACAAUGGCUUUCACGUGUUAAGAUUUCAUGUAUUUCUAAAACAUGAUCUACAUCCAUUCUUAAAAUCGAUUUUCCCAAAGAUUUUGAAAUUCUCAAUUUAAAUGGGUUUUUCAAUUAAUAUAAAGUAAUAUGUUAGCAAUUAAUAUAAAAUAAUAUGUUAGCACUAAAACCUUCUACUAUGACUCUGACCUUAGCAAUAAUAACAGUGAAUACUUAUUUUAAACAGAAGCAGUGUGGUAGGUAUAGAAAACUGAGUAUAAUUUCUACUCUUUGAUAUUGUAAUUACUCUAAUCCGUAUAGCCAACAUGAAGGCAGGUAGGUGUUUUGCAGAUCUUUCUAUCCUCCGACCUUUUGCAUAUGUGAACUCAGAUCUCUGUAUAUCCAAGCAGAGAUAUCAUAAAUAUCUACUCAGAUGGACACUGGACUUUUAAGAACUAGUUUUAAUGCAAUUUUGUCCUUUGUGUAAAGUGUUUUUAAAAAUCUUGAAUUUAACAAAUACAUGAAGGACCCAACAUUCAUUUUCUCUGUCCAGAACAUUUGUUUCAUAGGCAUACAAGUCAGAUGAAAUAAAUAUUUGCUUUGGAGCUGUUAAGAUGUCACAUAUUUGUUAACUUAUGUGUGUGCUCUUUAUUAAAUCCAAUGCUUGGCAAAGCACCAAUGCAGUUAGUAAUGUAAAUUUCCCCACGCUGUGUUUUGUUCUGUAAGUGGUCCAAACUCAUAAAGCACAUUUUGCCCACUAUCUACCCGAAACCUGAGGUAAAAUUUACCUUCUUAAUCAGUCCAAAAAACCCUCAUGAUAUAGUAUCUAAAAUUUUCUAGUCUCCAAAAUAGCAUUUGAAUGUGUGUAUCAAUCAUGAUUAUAAUAUGGAGUCUAUGGCAUUGUAUUUAUGAUUUAUAUUAGAAAAACCCCAACAUAAUACAUGUUGCUAUUGCACUCCUUUGGGUAUAAUGCAAGCCAAGUGAUGUCAUCCGGAAUGUAAGAACUCAAUGUAUUUAAUAAUAUCAUAGCCAAUGUGUCUCAAAGUUCUUGCCAAUGAAAAAAGGGGAAAAAUGUUUUUACACGUAGAUAUAACAGAGGAAAAGUUUCCCUAAACAAUGCUUACCCUACUACAUGAAACAUUCUUUUAUGUGUGUAAACCCUCUACAUUGAUUUCAUGAUUCUACUAAAGGGUGACUGUUUGGAGCCAGUUAUCUCUAAGUCUCUGUUUCUGCUUGCCUUUCCAACAGAGGCACUGACUCCAUUUUCAAGAACGCUAUCCUUUCAAGGAUGUUUGUACAGCAAACAGCCUUGAAAGACAGAGAAUUAUCUUCCUCCAGAGAAAAGGACAACUUUGUUUCCUACACAUUAAAAUAAAGAUAAGGGCAGGCAGCCUUGCGGCCAAUUAUAAAAGUCUCAAGGUCCCUAAGCUCAAAGUUACGCUCCCCUGGACCCUCUGAGUGCCACUCUGUUGGAAGUGAGGCUUGAGAAGCACAAAUGCUGAGUCUGAAUGCCACAAUUGCUUUGUCUCUGAGCCAGGAGUCUCGUGUCUUCUGCCAGCAUCCAUGAAACUGGCAGGCUAACUGGUUAGCUGCAAGUCAGGUGAAAUCUCAGCCAAUAUUCCCACAUUAUCAAUUUAACCAUAAAGCCAAUUUUGCCAAUUUCUUUCUUCAUCUUAGUCAGUCUCAAAGCAAAUAGAGAAUGUCUUUUUUUCUGCAGCAUCUGCUUACUAAUACUAUAUGAUGCUACAAAGUGCCUUCCAGAAGCACCUAGUCUUUUAGCAGAACGAAAUCUCCUACUCAUCUGUCUUCACCCAGGAGCCUCCCUUAGACAGAGAGAGCUUCCUGCUUGUCCUUGGGACUUCCAUAGUUAGCAAAUCCGAUUGCUCUAGAUGGGUUUAUGUAAGAAGAUGUGUAGGAAUGGGAAACACCAGCAACAUACUCAGAAAUUUAGAUUCAUUCUGUGUCUCAGUGCUUCUAAAACUGUAAUAGCAGAUCAUGAGGUGCUUCAAGGUGCAUGUCAUAGUCAUGUAGAAUACAACAGCAGUUCCAGUGACCCACGUUUUUUCCGUGCAUCCUGUUUACACCAGCAAGGAAAGCUCUGACUGGGUCACCCCUACUGGUAGGUACUCGGCAUGCUGUACUUCUCACUAUAUCCUCCUGGGUGUCUUCGGCUCUGGUCUCGUCAUUUCAGCCAGGGUAAGCAGGGUUAUUCUCGUUGAACGUCCAUACACGUGGCAAAAGCCAUAGCCACUUGAAGAAUAGCCUGAUGUUGCUCUCCUCUGCAGAGAGCCAUGGGCAGAUGAGCCGUCAUCGCCUGUGUGUUACUGCCUCAAGUAACAUCUUACCAUCCUUAUACCUCACUACAAAGUUACAAAUACCUGCCAGCUAAACAUCAAAUUAGAAAACUCUAGAGGUUAAAACAAUAGAUAAUUUUGCUCCAUCCCUUGAUCUGGUAGGUAAGUUGAGUUACCCCAGAGCUAAGCCAGAUCAGAACCCCGGUUUUCCAUUUCCCAUUCUGCCUGAUUUCCACACAAUGCCCGUAUGUGGGCAACACAAUCCUUCUUGGGAAGGCAGCAAGACCCUUAGCCCCCCAAAUGCAGAGCCCACAUUUUCAGGCUCUGCCACAGUGCGUGCUCUGUGGCGUAGCAUGUUCUCUCUCUCUUCUCUCUCUGUUUCUCUCCCUUUUCCUCGCUCCCUUUCUCUCUAUGAAUUCACUGAAUCACCUAGAUUUGCAUAUAACCUGAUUCGGAUUGCAUUUUUAAAGUUUCUCACUUCUUCCAUGCUUCUGCGUGAUACCACUGCAUUUUAAGAAGUCUCCAAUUUCUAUUUUACGAAUCGCUUAGUACCAUGAACAAUCCCAAGAAACAAAUUCUCAGGUUUUAUAGCUCUUCAUGCUUUCCAAGCCUGCAUAUCACAGUCUCCAGGAGGCUUUCCUGAUGUAAGAACGGACGCCAGGCUCUUUGUACGCAUUCCAGUAACCAACAGCACGGCCUCUGUCAUCGCAUGAUCCAAUCAUCUCAUCACUGCCUGAUGACAUGGCUGCCCUCCCCUACUGAACUGCGAGCUCCUGGUGGGCAAGACCCCACAGCUUAUUCGGGUUCAGACUGCUCUCUUUUCAGCCCCAGACAGAUGUCAAUUACAGUGCCUUCUCUUUGGAAACACGGAGCAAACUUUCCCUAUGCUGUCCACAGAGCAAGUCAACAAAGACGAUGAAAACGACUAUGAAAUAACGAGGGAGAAAAAUCAGCCCUUCUGCUACACAAACCAGAAUGCAGAUGGCCAGGGAGGGGGCACACGGAUAUUUCUUUCCAAGGCGCACGCAGCCAACGCAUGUAAACCCUGAGGGUGAAUAAAGUUCCCUGUCUGGCUGGAUUUGUGACCUAAGGUCCUUCAAAGACUGACCUGGAUAAGAAAAACUAGGGCAACGCUUACAAGUGAAGUCACGUGUCUCCAUCAAUCACAGCAAGGCUCCAGCCAAGUAGAAGGAGGAGACAAAUGCACACUAAAGAAUCUGGAAGGGUGCUCUGCUUGCAUCCUAACUGUAGGGCAGAUUUCGGCCAAAGCUUGCGAGGUCCAGGACGGGGCUCUUGAGGCAGGGACUGCAGAGGGAACAAAGAUGCAGAGGGCAAGCAAAUCCUUUGCUUCCCCUUAACGACGGUGUGUGCUUUAUAACUACGGGUGUUUCUGUCUGUUUUGGAAGCUGUUUUCCCCUCUGCUGUGCAUCCUCCUGCCCUUCUUGGCCUUGCCAGAUCUCAGCCCCGCUCCGAGCGAGCCCUGUGCGGCCGGCCGUCUUCCCGCCCCAGCAUCCUGUCAACAGCUCAGGCUCUGAAUUUCUUUUGCGCUCCUAACCUUUCCUGUUCAGCUUAGCCCUGCCCUGUCUUCCCCACUAUUUCUGCACGAUAUUCCCAGUACUCUACUAACGUGAUCUCGUCUCUUGUGCUUGAAGAAACACAGUCCAGCAACCAAAUGAUCGUUUCCCUCAAAUUCCCAUUCUUGACUUGUGCCUCCCACACACUGCGAAGGCUAUGCUUUUCUCUUCCAUCCGCUUUCCUCAGAUGCUGGGUGCACAUUGGCUUUCUUAGGCUGUCUGUGGCCGAGGAAGGCCCUUCCCGGAGGACGAGGAACUCUGUGACCCUUUGGCCCCCCUGAAGCGGCUGAGGUCGGGAGGCAUCCUGUAUUUGCACGUUCCAGGUUAUCCUGCAAGGAAGGACAGGCUAAGGCUAGCCCCUGCUCCCCCUGCUUGUGCCCCCUCCCUUACUAAGGCUCUGUGGCUUCGGAGGCAUGUUCCCCACCCCAGUUUUUCACGUGCCUGGUCUGGCUAGCCUAACGGAGCUGUGCCAGCUGGCACAGGACUGCUAUUGACUCGAUGUGUUGUGCUUUGAACGAACGCCAUUAGUUCUAUUUAUUGGGAUGAUUAGUUCUCAAAGGCUUAUAAUCCAGUUUUUCUUUAUAACUUCCUCGCUGCCUGGCACAGACCUGGACAGAUAGGGUUGCUGAUUGAUUCCA